UAAUGUCUGGGAAACUGCCUGAUGGAGGGGGAUAACUACUGGAAACGGUAGCUAWUWCCGCAUAACGUCGCAAGACCAAAGUGGGGGACCUUCGGGCCUCAUGCCAUCAGAUGUGCCCAGAUGGGAUUAGCUAGUAGGUGGGGUAAUGGCUCACCUAGGCGACGAUCCCUAGCUGGUCUGAGAGGAUGACCAGCCACACUGGAACUGAGACACGGUCCAGACUCYUWCSGKAGGCAGCAGKGGGGAAUAUUGCACAAUGGGCGCAAGCCUGAUGCAGCCAUGCCGCGUGUAUGAAGAAGGCCUUCGGGUUGUAAAGUACUUUCAGCGAGGAGGAAGGCRUUAAGGUUAAUAACCUUGGYGAUUGACGUUACUCGCAGAAGAAGCACCGGCUAACUCCGUGCCAGCAGCCGCGGUAAUACGGAGGGUGCAAGCGUUAAUCGGAAUUACUGGGCGUAAAGCGCACGCAGGCGGUCUGUCAAGUCGGAUGUGAAAUCCCCGGGCUCAACCUGGGAACUGCAUUCGAAACUGGCAGGCUAGAG
rnacentral:rRNA from 1 species